rnacentral:rRNA from 1 species
AACCAGCACCUCAAGUGGUCAGGAUGAUUAUUGGGCCUAAAGCAUCCGUAGCCGGCUCUGUAAGUUUUCGGUUAAAUCUAUACGCUCAACGUAUGGGCUGCCGAAAAUACUGUAGAGAUAGGGAGUGGGAGAGGUAGACGGUACUCGGUAGGAAGGGGUAAAAUCCUUUGAUCUAUCGAUGACCACCUGUGGCGAAGGCGGCCGGCUGGGGCCACUCUGACGCUGAGUCGCGAAAGCGUGGGGAGCGAACAGG